AUUGAACGCUGGCGGCAGGCCUAACACAUGCAAGUCGAGCGGAGCGCCUGUCGGGUGAGUAUUGCCUAGGAAUCUGCCUCUUACUGGUGGCUAACGUCCGCUAACGGGCGCUAUUACCGCAUCCUCUCAGAUGAGCCUAGGUCGGAUUAGCUAGUUGGUGGGGUAAAGGCCUACCAAGGCGACGAUCCGUAACUGGUCUGAGAGGAUGAUCAGUCACACUGGAACUGAGACACGGUCCAGACUCCUACGGGAGGCAGCAGUGGGGAAUAUUGGACAAUGGGCGAAAGCGUGAUCCAGCCAUGCCGCGUGUAUGAAGAAGGCCUUCGGGUUGUAAAGUACUUUCAGCGAGGAGGCGUGACUCGAAGAAGAAGCACCGGCUAACUCCGUGCCAGCAGCCGCGGUAAUAG
rnacentral:rRNA from 1 species